UACGAAGGGGGCUAGCGUUGCUCGGAAUCACUGGGCGUAAAGCGCACGUAGGCGGCUUCUUAAGUCAGGGGUGAAAUCCUGGGGCUCAACCCCAGAACUGCCCUUGAUACUGAGGAGCUUGAGUCCGGGAGAGGUGAGUGGAACUCCGAGUGUAGAGGUGAAAUUCGUAGAUAUUCGGAAGAACACCAGUGGCGAAGGCGGCUCACGGGCCCGGUAGUGACCAUGAGGUGCGAAAGCGUGGGGAGCAAACAGG
rnacentral:rRNA from 1 species